CCUACGGGAGGCUGCAGUGGGGAAUAUUGGACAAUGGGGGGAACCCUGAUCCAGCCAUGCCGCGUGUGUGAAGAAGGCCCUCGGGUUGUAAAGCACUUUCAGUGAGGAAGAACGCCUGGUGGUUAAUACCCAUCAGGAAAGACAUCACUCACAGAAGAAGCACCGGCUAACUCCGUGCCAGCAGCCGCGGUAAUACGGAGGGUGCGAGCGUUAAUCGGAAUUACUGGGCGUAAAGCGCGCGUAGGUGGCUUGAUAAGCCGGUUGUGAAAGCCCCGGGCUCAACCUGGGAACGGCAUCCGGAACUGUCAAGCUAGAGUGCAGGAGAGGAAGGUAGAAUUCCCGGUGUAGCGGUGAAAUGCGUAGAGAUCGGGAGGAAUACCAGUGGCGAAGGCGGCCUUCUGGACUGACACUGACACUGAGGUGCGAAAGCGUGGGUAGCAAACAGGAUUAGAUACCCCUGUAGUC
rnacentral:rRNA from 1 species